UACGGAGGGUGCGAGCGUUGUCCGGAAUCAUUGGGCGUAAAGGGCGCGUAGGCGGACAGUUAAGUCGGGGGUGAAAGCCCGGGGCUCAACCUCGGAAUUGCCUUCGAUACUGGCUGUCUUGAGUACGGGAGAGGUGUGUGGAACUCCGAGUGUAGAGGUGAAAUUCGUAGAUAUUCGGAAGAACACCAGUGGCGAAGGCGACACACUGGCCCGUUACUGACGCUGAGGCGCGAAAGCGUGGGGAGCAAACAGG
rnacentral:rRNA from 1 species